GAUGAAAAAGAGUUAUAUUGCGCAUAUAGGGUCGGAAAUAGAACAGAUUCAAAGUCAAAUAAUUCCUUGUUGCGUUUGAAGCGAAUAACUUUCUCGCUUCAGAAGAUAUUGUACCGUACGGAAACAAUGGAUUUUAUCUGCCUCGAUACAAAAUACCAGUGAAAUGGUUAGAACACGUCCAGGGAUCUUUGAAAGAGUACGCAAUUCUUUGAUACGAAAGUAUCAACCGUGUGCAAAAAUGGAAGGAAAUCAUGUACAAAACCUUCUAUAAGCAAGAAAAGAAGAAAUGAUAAGGUAAUCCAUUGUUUCCAUGCGGUACGAUAGUUUCUACAGCGAGCAACUUUCUCGCUUCAACGGAAACAAAAAUCUGUUUAUAACUUUAGAACUCUUAAUCUUUCUAUCCAUGUCUAUUACGACCUUUUUCCAUCGUUUGGUAAGUACGAUCUACCUCAGAAGCUAUGAACCCUUUAUUUGCUUCACCUUGUAUAUUAAAACUUACAUUUAAGCAAACUAUCGUAAAAACUUUGACGUCAUUAAACUUUCAAAUUCACAACAGUUACAAUUACUUUUUAGUAUUAUUCAAAGAUUCAAAUAACGUAUAAAUUAAUUCGAUCUCUUCUAUUAACGAUACGCUUAAUAAAGAAGUAACAGAAAGCGAGGUACGGAAUGAAAUGGAACAAAAGAUAAUUCGAAUUAAAUGAAUUGAAAUUUUAUUGAUGUAACUAAUAGAAAAAACAUGACAGAGAAGAGGCGGUAUAUAGUAAAAAGGGCAUGGGUAGUUAGAGAGAGACGAAAAUAGCGUAGUUACGAUCGAACGUGAAAAGGACAAGUAUCGAGAGAAAGAGAAAAAGUGUAACCUGUGCUGAAAUCAAACGGGAAGGAGAAAGGAGGGUUGCAACGUUAAAGAGAGACGAAGAGAGAACAGCGAUAGAAAGGAAAAAGUAACGCGUGGAAAAGAGAUGAAACAUCGACAAAGAAGGAAAAGGAUGACCGCUGAAGGUGGGAGUAGAAAAGAUAGAGAGAAAGAUGGACGAAGCCGGUUACCAGUGCGGCUGACUCACCGAUCGUUCUCGUUGCGCUAUCAGUGACGAGUCUGUUUAACCAUUGCGCAUCUGUAACGAGAUAAUCAGAAAAAUUAAUUGACCAGACGUCCCGAGCCGAUUUUUGUCACGAUACGGUCAUAUAGAACACGGUGAACUAAUUUUAUCUUUAAUAAAUCGUCUCGUAUAUUAUUGAGAAAAGAUUCGUUCGAAAAUUUGUAUUUUCAAGGAGCAGUCAAGAUUUCGAAAAUAACAAAUGCAUUGCUUCAAGAGAAGGGAAAAUAAAAUGUACUCAAAGUGUAUCAUUUUUGUACAGCUGUAUAAACCUCAUUCAGUGAUUUGAGUAAAUUUAAAUAAAAAAAAAAAAAAAAAAGAAACGA